GAUGAACGCUGGCGGCGUGCCUAAUACAUGCAAGUCGAGCGAACAGACGAGGAGCUUGCUCCUCUGACGUUAGCGGCGGACGGGUGAGUAACACGUGGAUAACCUACCUAUAAGACUGGGAAAACUUCGGGAAACCGGAGCUAAUACCGGAUAAUAUAUUGAACCGCAUGGUUCAAUAGUGAAAGACGGUUUUGCUGUCACUUAUAGAUGGAUCCGCGCCGCAUUAGCUAGUUGGUAAGGUAACGGCUUACCAAGGCAACGAUGCGUAGCCGACCUGAGAGGGUGAUCGGCCACACUGGAACUGAGACACGGUCCAGACUCCUACGGGAGGCAGCAGUAGGGAAUCUUCCGCAAUGGGCGAAAGCCUGACGGAGCAACGCCGCGUGAGUGAUGAAGGUCUUCGGAUCGUAAAACUCUGUUAUUAGGGAAGAACAAAUGUGUAAGUAACUAUGCACGUCUUGACGGUACCUAAUCAGAAAGCCACGGCUAACUACGUGC
rnacentral:rRNA from 1 species